UACAGAGGGGGCAAGCGUUAUUCGGAAUUAUUGGGCGUAAAGGGCGCGUAGGCGGCCUGGCAAGUGGAUGGUGAAAUCCCUCGGCUUAACCGAGGAACUGCCUGUCAAACUGCAUGGCUUGAGACCAGGAGAGGUGAGUGGAAUUCCCAGUGUAGCGGUGAAAUGCGUAGAUAUUGGGAGGAACACCAGUGGCGAAGGCGGCUCACUGGACUGGUACUGACGCUGAUGCGCGAAAGCGUGGGGAGCAAACAGG
rnacentral:rRNA from 1 species